rnacentral:misc_RNA from 1 species
UUACUUUCGUUUUAUAUAAUCAAAUGACUUUGUGUUAACACAAGUGUUAAAAAGUGUUUCAAAUGCACAGGUGUAUGAAAAUAAGUGUAUUUUCGGGCUUCUCUUUGCAGAGUUACCCUAUUUUCACUAAUGAUCCUUCCGCAGGUUCACCUACGGAAA